UCAGAGUGGUACUCGCUUCUCCUGCGAUC
rnacentral:piRNA from 1 species